AUGCGAUAAGUAAUGUGAAUUGCAGAAUUCAGUGAAUCAUCGAAUCUUUGAACGCACAUUGCGCCCCAGGGCAUUCCUUGGGGCAUGCCUGCUCGAGCGUCACAAAAGAACCCCCUCACAAGCAUUUGUGGUGAUGGCGGACGUGGCUACCCGGCCCCCUUACCGGGGAAGGGCCCACGCCGCUGAAAUGGAUCAGGCGGACGCAACCUCUCUCGUCAACCGGCUUAGUAAAAACGACGUCAAGUCAAACCAGCCGGGAGUGAGGUGAUGUCUUGCCCACGCUAGGACCCCCCAUCCAUCGCGAUGAGAAACCUUGGGUUGACCUCGGAUCAGGUAGGGAUACCCGCUGAACUUAA
rnacentral:rRNA from 1 species